AUAUUUUCUUCCUGUCAAGAGUUAUUUACAUAUGUACAGUAUUUCAGUUAAAAAUAUAACACCAUAAACUAUAUUUUAUAGGAAAUCAUAAGGGAAGGAAAUAUGCAGGUCUAUUAAAGACUUAAGAGCUUCUAAUAAACUACUUUACUUGGAGAGGGUUGGGGGGACUUCAGAUCAUACAGUCUGCCAUGGAGAAAAGAACUUGCUGGCAGACAGCCUGAUGGUUCAGAGGCUCCAGUGCCCAGUUAGCCACCUGGUCUGCAAUCUUUCCACAGACUUACUGAUCAGGCUUGAUCAGGAUGGCCCAGCCAUCCAGAAAAAGCCCCCAUCAGGUUCAGUCCCUUCGGGGUACAGAUGGAAAAGGCGUCAAUCACUGAGUGCACAGUAUGAAAGGUUCCAAAAUCUCCCCCAGCUGGUAUAAUACAAUCAGUUCCCCUUCAAGUUAUGGUAAGCCAUAUGUGCCAAGCAUGAAAUAAUCAGAUUGCAACUCAUCACGGAAGUAGUUAAUUCUGUUUUUCUAGUACAGCAGUGUCUAUGAUAUUCCGCCGCUUUGGUUCUAGGGCUGCAAAAAAGGAAACAUCUUGGUCCCGGUCUGACUGCAAUGCUAAGAUGGUCUCUUCAAUGACUUCAAGAUGAGGGUUACCAGCAUUUCUAAAAUACGCUAAAGAGAGAAACCAUGAGUCUGAAUCAGCAUCUGCCUUAGGGCCUUGGCUAGCAGAACCCUCACGUUGGGCACAGGAUCUGAUGCGAGGCUCAGGAGGCUGGGAAGCAGGUGCUCCAUGAACUGGUCCACGGGGACACACUCCUUGCUCACCACUGCCUGCUCCAAGAAAGUCACAGCCAAAGAAAUGAUGUUUUCCGCAGUCUUCUAGAAACAUACACUUCUU
rnacentral:lncRNA from 1 species